CAGGAAGAGUCUUUCAAAAUACAGCAGAAUUGUUAAUACUAAGAAAAAUCGAGGCUUAAAGCAUUGGUACCAAAUAUCAUCUUAAUUCCUUUCCACCAAUUUUGGAUUUCACAACAAAGGUUAGUCUAAAUAUACAUGGUUAACAUGCGAAUUAUAUAAAUACCUUUCUAGUGCUCUGCUAUAUAUACUCCAUUAAAUGAGGGAAAUAUUUAGUCUGUAACAGCGAAUCCGGUUAAGAUUUAUAGUCUAUAUAUAAUUGGAACUUGAUCGAAAUGGUGUAUAGGCCUAUAGCUAUCAUUGCAGCUUUUAGACACUGAUUUAUUGUAAAUGUUAACACCGUUUUGGUAUAGUGAACACCCGAUAUAACAGGCCAUAUAUAGGCUAACACGUACUGGGUGUAAAUAGCAUGAUUCAGUCAAUAUGUUUGGUGUUCACUAAUACACAAAUGGUAUUAAAAUUUCGAGUGCAGUUGAAAUAUAUAGCUAAUAUAGGAAUUCAAUAAUUAGUUUUUGUAUACUGCUUCGCUCGACACUAUUGUCUUAUUGAGGGGGCGAAAGAUUUAGGGCUAGAUCAUGCACGAUUUGAAACAGCAUUACACAACUUACAGUACCAAUACUUUCAAUACUCUGUAAUUCGUAAAAAUGUAUAGAUUGGACAGUUCCUUUCAUAAUGGCCGCGGAAGCAUUUCGAAAGUGGAGGGGCAUUAAUUGGCCAAAAAGGCAAUUUUGUAUAUGACCAAAAUCAAACAAUUUUAUGUCGUUUACAAGCCGAACGAAAAUUUGUGAAAAUAUAUAGAGUCUCUAUAUGUAACGUCGUAAAUGGCUUUUACAGAGUUUUACUACUGAAAAAAAGGGCAUUUUCUUUCCAGCAAAAGAGGGCUUCUGUUGAAGUUUAAAUUUAAAUUCUGUUGGAGUUUAAAUAUUUAAAUUAAUUGAAGGUAUAUAAUCGUGUAUAGGCUAUAUAGAUCAGUUAUAGGAUUUAACUUGCUGCCUAUAUAUACAGUAUAGACUGCUCGGCUGCAAGGACUUGUUUCAGAAAUACAUUUUAAUAUUGAAAUCGAUGUAGUAUUCAGUGGAUGUCGAAGAACAAAACAAUGGUCCAAGUGGGAAUUUGAAAAAGGCAUGCAAACAUGUUUCGCGUGGUAAUAAAUUUGUCAAAUAUUUGCAAGUAAUUUUUCUACAGUGUUUACGAGAUCCGGCUGUUGAUCGGGCUAAUUGUCUGUUAAUGUUGGCUUAUGUGUGCAACUAUAUAUAUUAUAUAAUACCUUAUUGGAUUCUGAUCGUUUAAUUGGCUGUUUAUGGUCACGUGAUAUUGAAUAUAGAAAAUUCCAUUUCCCAAGAGUGCAAUGGAAUACGUUCCACUGCACUCUUCGCGAGUGCAAUUGUACUAUACGUUUUAUUCCAUUGCACUCUUUAUGUUUUCGAUGAACUCACAUCCGUCAAAAUGCUUCUCAUAUACGAAUCUAUUAGUCUAUUUUGGUAUUAGGCUAUAUAAAACAAAUAAUUAAUUAAUGAAUGUUUCUUCGUGCAAUGGUAAGAAUAUUUUCAUUGGGUGAAAGAUGAAAUGUUAUUCAUUAUUUGUAUAUUACAUAGCAGAAACGAACUAUCAGGAAAAAAUUAAUAUCAUGCAGCCAUUGUUUGUUCCGACAUGCAGACAUGCAGACAUGUCGUUUGAAGAUAGCGCUAUUCUAUAGCUGCUUUAUAUAGCUGUUUUAAUUAUGCAAAAGCAGAUGACUUUUAACCUAAAUUGGGCCAAACAAUUUUAAUUAAUUGUCGAUUAUAAUAUUGUAUAAACUAUUUGAAUUUUCUUUACCGAAUCAUGCAGCAAUCAUAAAAAAAUCAUGUGAAAUUUCGUUGCAUAAUAAACCACUUUAUUUACACACGAGUAUGUGAACUGUUGCGGAAUUUUUGAGGUAAGCAAAAUUAUAUAUAUAUAUAUAUAUAUAUAUAUAUAUAUAUAUAUAUAUAUAUAUAUAUAUAUAUAUAUAUAUAUAUAUAUAUAUAUAUAUAUAUAUAUACGCUCCUUCAUUUCGGUGUUGUAGAGUUAAUUGUGGAGUUAAUUGGGUGUCCAUUAGCAAUAAUGCAAAGCUCACUUCUCUCGUGGUUGUUUGAGCACUCUGCCCCCAUGUCACUCUGCGCAUGUCUGGAUGCGUUGAUAGCCCGUGUUGUACCACAUGAGCUUGGGAGAGCAAGUGUCAUGUAUAUCAAUAAGAAGGUCAUCGCCCGAGCUGCACUGAUGAGGCGUACGUAGGACGCCGAAACAUAUAUAUAUAUAUAUAUAUAUAUAUAUAUAUAUACGUUUAUUAGACAUACCAUAUAUACGUGAAUACUUAGUUUACUGUAAAAUUAAAGUUAAACUAAUUAUAAUCUUUUAAUCAAGUUAUAAGUUGUUGAAAUCAAGACAUGUGCAAAUUUCAAGGUUAUUUCGACUCCAUUUCAUAGUUAUUGGGAACUGACUAGUCUUGAGGCCUGUUUUCAGGGACGCCGAGAGAAUUCGCGGGGCCCGGACCCAUAACAUCAUAUUUUUAAGCUAGACCCAACUAGUAGACCUUAAUUCGACUGCAGGUGGAGGCACUGUAAGGAUCCCUCAAUUUCAAAAAUUAUCUGACCAAUUUAAAGAACCUACUCAAUUUUAGGCUCUCACUCUCAAGUUGGGGGCUCUAUUAAGGUGGGGGCCCGGGGCAAUUUGCCCCCCCCUCGCUAGGCGUACUUGCCUCGGUGUCAUGACUUUUGUCUUAUGAUGCGAGAAACAGCCAACAUACUCGACAGGAUUAUAUUUCAGAAUUACAUGUUGGGCUUUUUGUUAUUUUGCAAAUCUCAAAAAAAUAAACUCACCUGUUAAUCUGCACGUUUCUGAACCAACUAAAUCUUUAUCUCCCACAAACAAGAAAGCUGCUUCGUUAACAAGACUUUCGCGUGGAAAUUCAAAAUUCAUUUGUGUUCCCCAUGACUAGUCGAAGGAAGCUCGUAAUUCAGGCGCAGAUGUGUUUAAGGGUUUUAAAAUUAGCCACGCUUAAUAAAUUAAUAAGUUAAUUUUGGCAAUUUCAGUCGCUAAUUUUCUCCGGCAUAAGAAUUGAACAUUAAUGCGUAUUGAAAUAAAAUCUGAGCUAAACGAACCCAUCCUACAGGUCAAGUUUUAAGUUCUACAUGUGGUCAAGGGGCUUCAUGCAUGCACCAAUCGCAAGUUUUCCCGAGAAAGGCCAGUUUAGAUUUUAUAACAAAUUUCGAGUUUCCAUUUUGCAAUGUAUAAUCAAUUAUGAAUCGCCAAAGUUAGAUUAAAUGAAAGAGUAUUCCUGCAUGCGGUCUAUAGCUAUCUUCGUAAUCCAGGCUCUGUAGGUCAUGCAGGUCGUAACUCGAACAGUCUCUGCUGGUGCCUGGUCACGUGGUACUUCGGGAGAGGUGACAAAGACCUUUAUGUGGCUUAAUAAAAGUCGACGUGUCGUGCAAGUCAUCCAUGCAUGACGUCAACUCUUCAUGUUGCAUGGUUGCAUUGUCUUAUUGAUGAAAUUUACCGGAAUAUCCGAAAUAUACAAAACAUGGAAGUAUAUAUAAAUUUAAAAAGGACUUACUAUACAGUUUUAAGAUUACCAGAUGUAAUAAAGAGUUUCGUGACUUGCACUUUUAUAAUUAUGCCCCUGCAGGAACAACUUGAACAAUUAUAGUCAGAAUCCCGCUGCGAUUUAAAUAUUUUUAAAAGAUAAUGAUAUAUUGUACACUGAAAUAUUCCUACCAAACCAGAGUACACUAUAUUAUAUAGUCGUGGGAAAUUGCGCAUAGAAAUUAGUUGAUUACUCUGCCCUCUGGAGAAAAAUGCAAUUUCCAAAUUCAAAUCCACGAAUAAAAAACAAAUGGAGUUUAAUUUGACCGUAACUUUUUUGUUAACGUCAAAAAUUUAAGCACCGAUUCCACAGAAAACACGAAUCAUUGAUGUAGCGGUUUUGAAUUAAGUAAAAUUUUAUAUUCUAACCCAUAUAACCAAAUGAUGUAGUAAGCUGACAAAAUAUCGAUACUGCACACUGCAUGUUGACUAAUAUUUAUUUAAAUCUCUCUCGUGAAAAUUGCGGUUUCCAGUUAAUGUAACAUUUUGCAAAGUUGACUGUCUUUAUUGAGGAAUGCCUGGAUCACCGGAGCGCAAAGCCUCGACGUCGAAGUGCAAAAGGCACAAUGAAUGUGCGCUUAUCCCUUUCCUUUAAAUGUUGAUCCUAUCAUUUUGUGAGCUAUAUAUAGUUGCAUUCAUUAUAUGCAUGUAUGUUUGGCGACUUGUAACGCCUGUAAAUCACAGUUACACUUUAGCUUUCUGAGCCUUUUGAGACCCGAUGGCGAUGACCAACAUUUCUUAAGUAUAUGUUUGUGAUGUUGUCUGUGAGUGUGUCCGCACCAGGCAAGCAAGGACAUGCUGGCUAGGGACUAGCCGACAAGAACUUGUUGUGGACCCCUGCCAUCUUGGGCCCCUAAAAUUAAAACAUUGGAAAAGAUAAAAAAUAUAGAUUUUAAUUUUGAAAAUCAAGAUUCAGAUAUUACAAUUUCUACUAUAAAAAUCUAAAUUUACGAAAAUAUUACCGAAGUAUUUAACAAAUUACCGAUGUUCCCCCCCCCCCUCCCCUACAAGUUUGGGAAAAAUAAGAUUAUUAGCGAUUGAAAUGUUUCAUGUUUGAUCAUGCAGUAAUACCCCCACCCAAUUCUUGAUCCAUCCGUCACUGGUCCUUGGCCCCUUCAGACGUUGCUCAUUCGUCGUCUUUUUCAAGAACCCAGUACGUCCCUGCAGGCAAGUUAAGCCGCAAAUUUUGGUUAGUGGUCAGUUUGGAAACAGAAAAAUUCAAGACAUCUUAAGUUCCGAUUAUAUCACUUUGAUUCCUAAACCAUAUUUAAAAAAUAUUUAAACUUUAAGCUACUAAACAAUUCCUACACUAUAAUUUAAGUGAUGAAAAAUCAAUAUGCAGCACCAUGCAAAAAUACAUUAUUAAUUUAAAACUCCACUAAUUCAUUACAAGGCCUUAGACGAAAAAGGGUUAAUUUAGUGUAGAUUGACUGACAGUGUUUAUUCAUAUAGAUGUUCUGGAAGAUGAUGUGCUUGUAUCUUCUGAUGUUGCUUUUGGUUUUGGUCCCAGCAAAAGCACAGGGUAAGUUGACUUGUCGUGUUUUUGAAUAUAUAAGAGUUUUGUCUUCCAUCAAGACUUUUAUUUUACUAAGUGCAUCCAACUAUUCUAAUGAUUUAGUUGAAACUUUUAAUCAUAGUUUAGCUAAUAGAAUGGCUUAGUUGGAUAAAACAUGCACGAGUGACUGUCAACGCAGCACCGGAAUCCAAAGGACGGACGAUUGUAUAUAUUAUUAAAUUGAGAUAUUUUUCUGUGUUGGUGUUAAAUGUACUCAGGUGAACAUGAUGCUUGUGAUGUUAUUCUGAGUGUAUAUCCACACCGGGCAGCUUGAAAAAUAUGCCUGGCCACGCGGUGGGAAUCGAACCAACGACCUUUGGAAUACUAGCCCAAUGCUCGGCCAACUGAGCUACGCGGUCAAGUCGGUUCGAGUAUAUGUGAUAUACUGAUAUUUCGGAACAGAAUCUAGUUCCUUCGAUAUCAAUGUAAUCUAGUAAUCAUGAUUUUUCUGUGUUGGUGUAAUGUACUCAGGUGAAUAUGAUGCUUGUGAUGUUACUCUGAGUGUAUAUCAACACCGGGCAAGCUUGAAAAAUAUGCCUGGCCACGUUGGGAAUCGAACCUAGGCGCUCUAUAGUGAUCGGAACCUAGAAAGUUCAGGUUAUACUUUUUUUAAAGAGAAAUACCUAAUACAAACGCUUAAACUUUUGUACCUCACAGAAAAUCAUUGCGAUGAAAAUGAUCAGCCACAUUUUAUGAUAAAUGGUGCGAAUGAAUGUUUCUAAAAACUCGGGGAAUGUUUGGAGAAUUCACGGAACUCACCAAACUGUGGAAUGCAUAAAAAAAUCAUAUUGCCGCCACUACCACAAACGUCUACGUCCGCACCUACAUAUUUUCGCAUGUUUACAUUCUAAUUUUAAACAGCUAAUCCGGUUCUUGCAUGGUAACAGUUACAAUUAAACGUCGAUUGGCUGUUUAAAAUUAGAAUUGUAGACAUGCAAAAAUAUGUAGGUGCGGUCGUAGACAUUUGUGGGUGUGGCGGCGAUACGAAUUUUUUAUGCAAUUCCACAGUUCGGCAUGCGACUCCUUUUCUAUUUCUUGGUUAGAAUUAUAUUUUUUAAAUAACUUAUUUGUACUAUUUUUGAGUUGACUUCGUACAUUUUAAAGCAAGAUAUCUCCUUUCACGGACGGUAAUAAAUCAAGUUCAAAACUAUUUCCUUCAAAACAGAGAAUCCUUGCGAUGAAAAUGCCGAGGCACAUGAGAUUAAUGGUGUGGUUGAUUGCUUCUGCAAGCGUGGAUAUUAUGGAAAUGGAAAAAUUUGUACAG